rnacentral:rRNA from 1 species
UACGUAGGGGGCUAGCGUUAUCCGGAAUUACUGGGCGUAAAGGGUGCGUAGGUGGUUUCUUAAGUCAGAGGUGAAAGGCUACGGCUCAACCGUAGUAAGCCUUUGAAACUGGGAAACUUGAGUGCAGGAGAGGAGAGUGGAAUUCCUAGUGUAGCGGUGAAGUGCGUAGAUAUUAGGAGGAACACCAGUAGCGAAGGCGGCUCUCUGGACUGUAACUGACGCUGAGGCUCGAAAGCGUGGGGAGCAAACAGGAUUAGAUACCCCUGUAGUCCCUGAGCGGG